CAAUCCAACAGUGGCGCACGGGUGAGGAACACGUAGCUGACCUGCCUCGAAGCGCGGGAUAACGGGUCGAAAGACCUGCUAAUACCGCAUAAGCUCACGGGUUUUAGAAAGCGGUGAGAAAAGGGGAAACUCACUUCGAGAGGGGGCUGCGACCCAUCAGGUAGUUGGUAAGGUAACGGCUUACCAAGCCGACGACGGGUAACGGGUCUGAGAGGAUGAUCCGUCACACUGGGACUGAGACACGGCCCAGACUCCUACGGGAGGCAGCAGUGAGGAAUAUUGCACAAUGGGCGAAAGCCUGAUGCAGCGACGCCGCGUGGGUGAAGAAGGUCUUCGGAUCGUAAAACCCUUUUCUGCGUGACGAGCAAGGACGGUAGCGCAGGAAUAAGCCUCGGCUAACUACGUGCCAGCAGCCGCGGUAAAACGUAGGAGGCGAGCGUUAUCCGGAGUUACUGGGCGUAAAGCGCGUGUAGGUGGUCUGUUGCGUCUGCUGUGAAAUGUCCCGGCUCAACCGGGACUAGGCGGUAGAUACGGGCAGACUAGAGGGUGACAGAGGAGCGUAGAAUUCCGGGUGUAGUGGUGAAAUGCGUAGAGAUCCGGAGGAAUACCAGUGGCGCAAGCGGCGCUCUGGGUCGAGCCUGACACUGAGACGCGAAGGCAUGGGGAGCGAACGGGAUUAGAAACCCCGGUAGUCCAUGCAGUAAACGAUGCAGACUGGGUGUGGGUAGCGCAA
rnacentral:rRNA from 1 species